UGGUAUUUCUAUUUCUGCUCUAAUAAAUGCACUCCCUUGUAGGCUGACCUAUAAAAUCCAUCUCCAUUUUCACUACCUCAGGCUCUUCAUCUUGUUCAGAGCAUGCUGGAAAGUGGCAUAAAGAACAUGAAUAUCUAAGACAUCAGAGUAAAUGCAAAAUGUAUCCUGAAUGAGCAACACAUUCUGUUUAUUCUAUGGAUCUAAUGUACUCUCCAUGCCUGGGACAGUGGAUGGGAUCAAAGGUGGGCUGCAUUUGGGGACAGCAAGAACAAACCGAAAAACAUGCACCAGUGGAGCACCUGAGAACCAGUGAAACCUACAAAGAUAAACUAAAAC
rnacentral:lncRNA from 9 species